GCCGAAGUGGCGGAAUCGGUAGACGCAGCGGACUCAAAAUCCGCCGCCGUUAAAAGCGUGUGGGUUCGAGUCCCACCUUCGGCACCA
rnacentral:tRNA from 1 species